rnacentral:rRNA from 1 species
GAUGAACGCUGGCGGCGUGCCUAAUACAUGCAAGUCGAGCGAACAGAUAAGGAGCUUGCUCCUUUGACGUUAGCGGCGGACGGGUGAGUAACACGUGGAUAACCUACCUAUAAGACUGGGAUAACUUCGGGAAACCGGAGCUAAUACCGGAUAACAUAUUGAACCGCAUGGUUCAAUAGUGAAAGGCGGCUUUGCUGUCACUUAUAGAUGGAUCCGCGCCGUAUUAGCUAGUUGGUAAGGUAACGGCUUACCAAGGCAACGAUACGUAGCCGACCUGAGAGGGUGAUCGGCCACACUGGAACUGAGACACGGUCCAGACUCCUACGGGAGGCAGCAGUAGGGAAUCUUCCGCAAUGGGCGAAAGCCUGACGGAGCAACGCCGCGUGAGUGAUGAAGGUCUUCGGAUCGUAAAACUCUGUUAUCAGGGAAGAACAAAUGUGUAAGUAACUGUGCACAUCUUGACGGUACCUGAUCAGAAAGCCACGGCUAACUACGUGCCAGCAGCCGCGGUAAUACGUAAGUGGCAAGCGUUAUCCGGAAUUAUUGGGCGUAAAGCGCGCGUAGCGGUUUUUUAGUCUGAUGUGAAAGCCCACGGCUCAACCGUGGAGGGUCAUUGGAAACUGGAAAACUUGAGUGCAGAAGAGGAAAGUGGAAUUCCAUGUGUAGCGGUGAAAUGCGCAGAGAUAUGGAGGAACACCAGUGGCGAAGGCGACUUUCUGGCCUGUAACUGACGCUGAUGUGCGAAAGCGUGGGGAUCAAACAGGAUUAGAUACCCUGGUAGUCCACGCCGUAAACGAUGAGUGCUAAGUGUUAGGGGGUUUCCGCCUCUUAGUGUUGCAGCUAACGCAUUAAGCACUCCGCCUGGGGAGUACGACCGCAAGGUUGAAACUCAAAGGAAUUGACGGGGACCCGCACAAGCGGUGGAGCGUGUGGUUUAAUUCGAAGCAACGCGAAGAACCUUACCAAAUCUUGACAUCCUUUGACCGCUCUAGAGAUAGAGUUUUCCCCUUCGGGGGACAAAGUGACAGGUGGUGCAUGGUUGUCGUCAGCUCGUGUCGUGAGAUGUUGGGUUAAGUCCCGCAACGAGCGCAACCCUUAAGCUUAGUUGCCAUCAUUAAGUUGGGCACUCUAAGUUGACUGCCGGUGACAAACCGGAGGAAGGUGGGGAUGACGUCAAAUCAUCAUGCCCCUUAUGAUUUGGGCUACACACGUGCUACAAUGGACAAUACAAAGGGCAGCUAAACCGCGAGGUCAAGCAAAUCCCAUAAAGUUGUUCUCAGUUCGGAUUGUAGUCUGCAACUCGACUACAUGAAGCUGGAAUCGCUAGUAAUCGUAGAUCAGCAUGCUACGGUGAAUACGUUCCCGGGUCU